rnacentral:rRNA from 1 species
UACGUAGGGUGCAAGCGUUAAUCGGAAUUACUGGGCGUAAAGCGUGCGCAGGCGGUUUUGUAAGUUUGUCGUGAAGGCCCCGGGCUCAACCUGGGAAUUGCGAUGAAGACUGCAAGGCUUGAAUCUGGCAGAGGGGGGUAGAAUUCCACGUGUAGCAGUGAAAUGCGUAGAGAUGUGGAGGAACACCGAUGGCGAAGGCAGCCCCCUGGGUCAAGAUUGACGCUCAUGCACGAAAGCGUGGGGAGCAAACAGG